AACAAGGCGUACCUGCGGACCUGCGGAGGGAUCAUUACCGAGUGCGGGUCCCCUCGCGGGGCCCAACCUCCCACCCGUGUCUACCGUCACCUGUUGCUUCGGCGGGCCCGCCUUCGUGCCGCCGGGGGGCCCUCUGCGCCCCCGGGCCCGCGCCCGCCGAAGACUCUAGGAACACUGAAUGAAGGAUGCCGUCUGAGUCAAACGACACAAUCGUUAAAACUUUCAACAAUGGAUCUCAGA
rnacentral:misc_RNA from 1 species